rnacentral:rRNA from 1 species
GACGAACGCUGGCGGCGCGCCUAACACAUGCAAGUCGAACGAGCGAGAGAGAGCUUGCUUUCUCGAACGAGUGGCGAACGGGUGAGUAACGCGUGAGGAACCUGCCUCAAAGAGGGGGACAACAGUUGGAAACGACUGCUAAUACCGCAUAAGCCCACGGGUCGGCAUCGACCAGAGGGAAAAGGAGCAAUCCGCUUUGAGAUGGCCUCGCGUCCGAUUAGCUAGUUGGUGAGGUAACGGCCCACCAAGGCAACGAUCGGUAGCCGGACUGAGAGGUUGAACGGCCACAUUGGGACUGAGACACGGCCCAGACUCCUACGGGAGGCAGCAGUGGGGAAUAUUGCACAAUGGGGGAAACCCUGAUGCAGCGACGCCGCGUGGAGGAAGAAGGUCUUCGGAUUGUAAACUCCUGUUGUUGGGGAAGAUAAUGACGGUACCCAACAAGGAAGUGACGGCUAACUACGUGCCAGCAGCCGCGGUAAAACGUAGGUCACAAGCGUUGUCCGGAAUUACUGGGUGUAAAGGGAGCGCAGGCGGGAAGACAAGUUGGAAGUGAAAUCCAUGGGUCAACCCAUGAACUGCUUUCAAAACUGUUUUUCUUGAGUAGUGCAGAGGUAGGCGGAAUUCCCCGGUGUAGCGGUGGAAUGCCGUAGAUAUCGGGAGGGAACACCAGUGGCGAAGGCGGCCUACUGGGCACCAACUGACGCUGAGGCUCGAAAGUGUGGGUAGCAAACAGGAUUAGAUACCCUGGUAGUCCACACCGUAAACGAUGAUUACUAGGUGUUGGGGGAUUGACCCCCUCAGUGCCGCAGUUAACACAAUAAGUAAUCCACCUGGGGAGUACGACCGCAAGGUUGAAACUCAAAGGAAUUGACGGGGGCCCGCACAAGCAGUGGAGUAUGUGGUUUAAUUCGACGCAACGCGAAGAACCUUACCAAGUCUUGACAUCCUGCGACGGUGCUGGAAACAGUACUUUCCUUCGGGACGCAGAGACAGGUGGUGCAUGGUUGUCGUCAGCUCGUGUCGUGAGAUGUUGGGUUAAGUCCCGCAACGAGCGCAACCCUUAUGGUCAGUUACUACGCAAGAGGACUCUGGCCAGACUGCCGUUGACAAAACGGAGGAAGGUGGGGAUGACGUCAAAUCAUCAUGCCCUUUAUGACUUGGGCUACACACGUACUACAAUGGCGUUAAACAAAGAGAAGCAAGACCGCGAGGUGGAGCAAAACUCAGAAACAACGUCCCAGUUCGGACUGCAGGCUGCAACUCGCCUGCACGAAGUCGGAAUUGCUAGUAAUCGUGGAUCAGCAUGCCACGGUGAAUACGUUCCCGGGCCU